CGAGAGAGCAAAGCAAUAAUCGCUUUUGGACACAUAGCCUUGUUGCUAACCUUUGAACUGAAAGAAUCAAGUUCAGAUCUGGUUACCUGCAUUGGGACGGAAAGGAAGAGAGAGAGAGAGAGAGAGAGAGAGAGAGAGACUGCAAUCUCAUUUGUGAAUCGCUCUCACAGUGCUGCAGAUCCAGAUUGCUAUAACACAUGCAGUGCAAAUGCAGGUAAGGCACACACACAAACUGCGGAUGCAAAAACAAACUUGGGACUGUUUUUUGUGUGUGUAUGUGCAUUGCUCCAGCUUUGGAAAUUCUGGGCAAACGGCUUCUGCAGUUUUUGUAUCGUUGCUUUGUGACUAAUGACCUUGCGCAGAGUUAUUAAAAAAAUCCUCUACGGAGAAAGAACUGAACAUUUUAGGCAAUCUGUGAAGAUGGAUUUGGGUGCUUUUCUGCUAACCGAAGCGGAUUUUCUGUGGACUGCUCUGUGAUAUAAAGGGUUCUCGCCUACCCACUGUACAGCUACCGAUAUUAUUGGGGAUUUUUUUGGUAUUUUUCUUUAUUUUUUAAUUUUAUUUUUAAUCAGUUAUUUAAUUGUAUUUUUUGCCCAUUGCUAAGAGGAUUGGGAGUUUUCCGGACACAACCCCUUUGAAUGAGGCGAUUCACAUUUUUUUUUCCGUGUGCGUGCAGAGUGGGGAAAGAAAAGAGCUAAUGCCCUAGUAGUAAACGGCUGAGAGAGAGAGGGAGAAGAGUGUGAAUUGUACUUAACUCUAGGAGCAAAGAAGACGACCUGGGGAGAGAGGGGGGGCUUCGAAUAGCACCGUGCUGCUCCUGCUUUUAUUACAAACCUUGCAAAGUGAUUACAGUAAAACCAGAGGAGGAGGAGGAGAAAAAUCCCGUCCUAUCUGUUGAGAUGAAUCUUUAAAAAGCAAAAUACACUGUCCCAUGAACGGUAAGCAUAUUGCAACUGGAAGGAAGGGAGGAGAGGAGCCAACACCAGGGUUUUGAUCACUGAUUGCACAAGUUAUGAGACAAUAAGUUUCCCGGAAGAGAAGGAUUUUAUAAUUGAUCAUCCACACGCUGAGCAUUUCUGUUGGCUUGUCAGGGGAGUUGGUGGGAGAGAGGAGG
rnacentral:lncRNA from 1 species